rnacentral:lncRNA from 1 species
CACAAAUUCAAUCUGGUUGGCCACGCCGUACACCUCGGCAUUGCUGCGUGCAAGGCUGAGUUUCUCGGGAUCUAUAUCAACAGCGAUCACUCUUUUUGAAGUCAAAGCAAACUGAAUAGCAUUUCCUCCAACCCCACAGAAGGCAUCCACUAUUGUAUUGCAGUUGAACGACUGAGCGACACGGACCGCAAUAUGCUCUGCUAUCUU